rnacentral:rRNA from 1 species
CAGUCGCCACGGUAACACAGAGGGUGCGAGCGUUAAUCGGAUUUACUGGGCGUAAAGCGUGCGUAGGCGGCUUCUUAAGUCGGAUGUGAAAUCCCUGAGCUUAACUUAGGAAUUGCAUUCGAUACUGGGAAGCUAGAGUAUGGGAGAGGAUGGUAGAAUUCCAGGUGUAGCGGUGAAAUGCGUAGAGAUCUGGAGGAAUACCGAUGGCGAAGGCAGCCAUCUGGCCUAAUACUGACGCUGAGGUACGAAAGCAUGGGGAGCAAACAGGAUUAGAUACCCCGGUAGUCCCUGUCUCUUAUAC